rnacentral:snoRNA from 1 species
GCAAUCGAUCUGAACGGCAUGGCGCCCCUUUCGCUAAAGCCUGUGUUGCGCUACGUUGCUAUCAGCAAGCGGUUGCCAGAUUAAAUCGACGGACUCCAAGAAUACAGUGUCUGAUUUAUUGACACUGCAUUCAUUUCACCCCGUCCACA